GAAACGCGAUAGUUAAUGUGAAUUGCAGAAUUCAGUGAAUCAUCGAGUCUUUGAACGCACAUUGCGCCCAUAGGUAUUCCUUUGGGCAUGUCUGUUUGAGCGUCAUUACAACCCUCAGCUAACCGCUGGUUUUGAACCUGAACGGGUGACACCGCGCCGGUUUUAAAGUUGUAAGCUCUGCUGGCCGCUCUGCCCAACCAGAACAUAGUAAGCACUACUUGUCCGAGUGAAGCUGAACGGUACGGCCUGAACAAAACCUACCCACUCUCAAGGUUUGACCUCAGAUCAGACAAGGAUACCCGCUGAACUUAAGC
rnacentral:misc_RNA from 1 species